AUGUACAUGCCUAUAGUGUUAAUGCGUCAAAUAUCAUCAGAACUAUGCAGUUAAGCAUGCUUGAGCUAGAGUAGUACUGGGAUGGGUGACCUCCCGGGAAGUCUUAGUGUUUUACAUC
rnacentral:rRNA from 1 species